AAAAGUUAUAUGGUUAAUUCAUUAGAACAAAAAAGGGGAAGAUAAAAGAGGAGCAGAAGAAAAGAACAAAAGCGACGUUCACAGUGGGAAUUAAUUUACUGCUGAGAAAUUGUUUUAGAGUCUCAGACAUGACCUCACCUCUGGAAUUUGAUAGAAGAUCUUUAUCUAAUGGCGAGCACUCCGUCUCAAGGCUGUCAUGGGUCAUCUUAUUUGUUCUUGUCCAUCUUUCAGAAUGUGUUCUCUGGCUCAGACAUGAUCUCACCUCUUAAGUUUGAUAGCAGAUCUUGAUUCAAGGGUGAGCACUCCGUCUUCAGGCUGCCAUGGGUCAUCUUAUUUGUUCUUGUUCAUCUUUCGGGCUAUGAAACAUUCUUUAUUUACUUUAUUUUUGGCUAUCUCUUUAGAUAUGAGCUUUAUUUGUAGUUCUUGUACGAUGAGUUUCGAAUCUUGGGGUUUAAGUAAGUAGUUUGACUUCUACAUUAAUAAUGAUUAGUCCGGAAUUAUUCUUAUUA